UGGGCGGCCCGCGGGAAGGCGGGGUUGGACCGCCCACAUCCACCACCUCCUGAAAUAAAGAGGCGCUCGAUUAGUCGAUGUUAAAGUCAACAUAGCUUGCUGCAGCCCAGCCAGGCGCUAACACAUUAUCUCCAGUCGAAGAGCUCAGCACAGACAGGAAAUAAGUCUGCCACGUUUAAGAGGGGAGGAAGAGGACACUUGAACUCUGUAUGAACUUCAGCAGUGAAGAGACGAGUCCAG